rnacentral:rRNA from 1 species
AACGAACGCUGGCGGCGUGCCUAACACAUGCAAGUCGAGCGGGAAAGUUCCCUUCGGGGAGCGAGUACAGCGGCGAACGGGUGAGUAACACGUAGGUAACCUACCCUGGAGAUCGGGAUAACCUGCCGAAAGGCGGGCUAAUACCGGAUAAGACCACGAGGGCUGCGGCCCUUGAGGAAAAAGAUGGCCUCUGCUUGCAAGCUAUCACUCUGGGGAUGGGCCUGCGCGCCAUUAGCAGUUGGUGAGGUAACGGCUCACCAAGGCUGAGAUGGCUAGCUGGUCUGAGAGGAUGGCCAGCCACACUGGGACUGAGACACGGCCCAGACUCCUACGGGAGGCAGCAGUGGGGGAAUAUUGGACAAUGGGCGCAAGCCUGUAUCCAGCGAUGCCGCGUGUGUGAAGAAGGCCUGCGGGUUGU